ACGAACGCUGGCGGCGUGCCUAAUACAUGCAAGUCGAGCGAACGGACGAGAAGCUUGCUUCUCUGAUGUUAGCGGCGGACGGGUGAGUAACACGUGGAUAACCUACCUAUAAGACUGGGAUAACUUCGGGAAACCGGAGCUAAUACCGGAUGAUAUUUUGAACCGCAUGGUUCAAAAGUGAAAGACGGUCUUGCUGUCACUUAUAGAUGGAUCCGCGCUGCAUUAGCUAGUUGGUAAGGUAACGGCUUACCAAGGCAACGAUGCAUAGCCGACCUGAGAGGGUGAUCGGCCACACUGGAACUGAGACACGGUCCAGACUCCUACGGGAGGCAGCAGUAGGGAAUCUUCCGCAAUGGGCGAAAGCCUGACGGAGCAACGCCGCGUGAGUGAUGAAGGUCUUCGGAUCGUAAAACUCUGUUAUUAGGGAAGAACAUAUGUGUAAGUAACUGUGCACAUCUUGACGGUACCUAAUCAGAAAGCCACGGCUAACUACGUG
rnacentral:rRNA from 1 species